UGGGCUAAGCUCCGUAGCUGGCUGAGUUAGUCCCUUGUUAAAUCCACCGAAUUAAUCGUUGGAUUGCGGGGGAUACUGCUCGGCUAGGGGACGAGAGAGGCAGACGGUAUUUCUGGGGUAGGGGUGAAAUCCUAUAAUCCCAGGAGGACCACCAGUGGCGAAGGCUGUCUGCUAGAACGCGCCCGACGGUGAGGGAUGAAAGCUGGGGGAGCNAACCGGAUUAGAUACCCGGGUAGUCCCAGCUGUAAACNAUGCANGCUAGGUGUUUGGACGGCCACGUGCCGUUCUAGUGCCGCAGGGAAGCUGUUAANCCUGCCGCCUGGGAANUACNAUCGCAAGAUUGAAACUUAAANGAA
rnacentral:rRNA from 1 species